rfam:Triticum aestivum genome assembly, contig: Triticum_aestivum_CS42_TGACv1_scaffold_274466_3DS
CACCUACUCCCUCCGUUUCACAAUACAUGCAUUUCAUUUGUCAAAAUAUAGAUGUAUCUAGACAUGUUUCAGUAUAUAGGUAUAUUUAUUUUUGGACAAAUGGAAGUCAAGUAUUUUGGAACGGAGGGAAUACAUC